GAUGAACGCUGACAGAAUGCUUAACACAUGCAAGUCAACUUGAAUUUGGGUUUUUAACUUAGGUUUGGGUGGCGGACGGGUGAGUAACGCGUAAAGAACUUGCCUCACAGCUAGGGACAACAUUUGGAAACGAAUGCUAAUACCUAAUAUUAUGAUAAUAGGGCAUCCUAUAAUUAUGAAAGCUAUAAGCGCUGUGAGAGAGCUUUGCGUCCCAUUAGCUAGUUGGAGAGGUAACGGCUCACCAAGGCGAUGAUGGGUAGCCGGCCUGAGAGGGUGAUCGGCCACAAGGGGACUGAGACACGGCCCUUACUCCUACGGGAGGCAGCAGUGGGGAAUAUUGGACAAUGGACCGAGAGCCUGAUCCAGCAAUUCUGUGUGCACGAUGAAGUUUUUCGGAAUGUAAAGUGCUUUCAGUUGGGAAGAAACAAAUGACGGUACCAACAGAAGAAGUGACGGCUAAAUACGUG
rnacentral:rRNA from 1 species